rnacentral:rRNA from 1 species
UACGAAGGUUGCUAGCGUUGUUCGGAAUCACUGGGCGUAAAGCGCACGUAGGCGGAUUGUUAAGUCGGGGGUGAAAUCCUGAGGCUCAACCUCAGAACUGCCUUCGAUACUGGCACUCUCGAGUCCGGAAGAGGUUGGUGGAACAGCUAGUGUAGAGGUGAAAUUCGUAGAUAUUAGCUAGAACACCAGUGGCGAAGGCGGCCAACUGGUCCGGUACUGACGCUGAGGUGCGAAAGCGUGGGGAGCGAACAGG